ensembl:lncRNA
UGGAUGACCACAGGUGCAGACCUCAAUUAAAAUCCAUAUUAAGUAAUUCCACUUUUUCUUGUAAUGUUGACUUUUCUCUGCUUGGGAGCACUUCCAGCAUCACUAGUGGGACUUUGUAUGGGUAUUGCGACAGCCAGGUAAGAGGGUGUGAUGGUUAAUACUGAGUGUCAACUCGAUUUGAUUGAGGGAUACAAAGUAAUAAUCCUGAGUGUGUCUGUGUGGGUGUUGUAAAAAAAGACUAACAUUUGAGUCACUGGGCUGGGAAAGACAGAUCCACCUUAAUCUGGUGGGCACAAUCUAAUAAGCUUCCAGCAAAUAUAAAGAAAGAAGAAAAAUGUGAAAAGGAGAGAUGGGCCUAACCAACAGCCAACAUCUUUCUCCUAUGUUUGAUGUUUCCUGACUGCAAACAUCAAACUCCAUGUUCUUCAGUUUUGGAACUCGGACUGGCUCUUCUUGCUCCUCAGCUUGAAGACAGCCUAUUGUGGGACCUUGUGAUUGUGUUAAGAAAGGAGUUACAGUGUUUGUUGGCUGGGGUGAUUGACCCGGACUGUCAAGAUGAACUCAGUCUACUACACUACAAUGGAGGUAAGGAAGAGUAUGCAUGCAAUACAGGAGAUCCAUUAGGGCGUCUCUUAGUAUUAUUAUGCCAUGUGAUUAAGGUCAAUGGGAAACUGUAAUAACCCAAUCCAGGCAGGACUACAAAUGACCCAGACCCUUCAGGAAUGAAGGUUUGGGUCACUCCACCAGGAAAAAAUAAAAAUCCCAGUCUGCUGAGGUGCUUGCUGAAGGCAAAGGAAAUACAGAAUAGGUAGUAGAAGAAGGUAGUCAUCAAUACCAGCUACGACUGCAUGACCAACUGCACAAAUGAGGACUGUAACUGUCAUGAAUAUUUUCUCCUUUUUUUGUGAAAAACAUUUGUGCAUGUAUACACUUGUACUAAGAAAAUGCCUUCAUUUUAUUUCCUUUUCCUUUAUCAUGUGAUAUAAGAUUUAUUUACUUCAUAUUUACUUUAUGUCAUAGUAUUUGGGUUGGGGAUUGGUGGAUUUCCAGUUGUAUGAAGGUCAAUUGCAUUAUGUUAGGCAUAAUUAAGACCUUAUUAUUGUCUCUAUUUGAAGAUUAUGCAUGAUCUCAGGAGUUGUAUAUGGGGUCAAGUUGACAAGGGGUGGACUUGUGAUGGUUAAUACUGAGUGUCAACUUGAUUGGGUUUAGGGAUACAAAGUAUUAAUCCUUGCUGUGUUUGUAUGGGUGUUGCCAAAAGAGAUUAGCAUUUGAGUCAGUGGGCUGGGGAAGGCAGAUUGAUCCUUAGUCAGGUGGGCACAAUCCAAUCAGCUUCCAGCAAAUAUAAAACAGGCGGAAAAACAUAAAAAGGAGAGAUGGACCUUGCCUCUCAGCCUACAUCUUUCUCCUGUGCUGAAUGCUUCCUGCCCUUGAACACUGGACUCCAAGUUCUUCAGUUUCAGGCUCGGACUGGCUCUCCUUGUUCCUCAGCUUGCACACCAGCCUAUUGUGGAACCUUGUGAUUAUGUAAGUUAAUAAACUCUCCUUUAUAUAUCCUAUUAGUUCUGCCCUUCUAAGAAAACUCUAACUAUCCCAGAGGAGCUCCCCAUAAAAAUUCAACCUGCCUGCACACUGGGGUAGAGCCACAGAGGUUUGAACCCUUUCCAGUGGGGAGGAGCCUCUGGCCCCUGUCUGGAAGCUGGGAUUCAAGCUACAGGCAGGAAGCAUUCUAGCAGGGAUUCUGGCCCAGCUAGAAUUCCUUUUUCCCCUUUUCUUCCUCUCCACUCAGUAAAACCCUGUCUUACUCGCUAUUCAAGUUGUCUAGGAGCCUGAAUGUUUGUGGCCGUAGUACAAAGAACCCCAUCUUUCGCUGAAUUAAGGAAAACUCCUGCAAUAGUAUCAUCAUGAUGAGUCAAGGUUUACAAUAUUGCACUAAACACAAAGAAAAAUAUGUGAGAAC